GGAAGUGAGAAUGCACCAUUGGUGGUGGAUGAGGUGCUGAUGGCCCUGACAUGCAGGGGGGCAUUGCUAAAACUGCACCAGGGUGAACUGGGGUGAUGCACCAUGGAAGAGAACCUAAGUGCCACAUCUCAGGCAUGUGAGAGGUGCUGGGGCAGGAGUAACGCCCUGGACCAGUAACUAGGAUCUGGGCUCAGCAUAUCCCAGCCAUGAAGGUGCUAGGACUCGGAAGGGAGGAAGCGCAUGACUCAGCAGCACAGCCCAGAGCUGAGUCAGCAGGGCCAGCAGAGGCUAGAAGAGGAGAUGUGGACAUGGAUACCUGGGGGCUGGAUCAAAGGGAAAUUCAGGACCCGAAGUUGGGCAAGCAAGAGUCUGGCAAAGAUAAACCAUGUUGAUAAACCCCUCCCUGCACUGAUCAAAAAAUAAAUUCCCAGGAUCAGGAAUAAAAGAAGGAUUAUCACUACAGAUCCUGGGGAGUUAAGGGGAGAAAGAGGGAAUAUUAUGAAAAGGUUUAUGCCAACAAACUUAACAACACGUAGAUGGUAGGAACAAGUUCCCUGAAAAACUAUAAAUGCCCAUAGGGAAUGUAUUGGGGAUUGGACGUAGGAAUCUCUGAGAAGCUCCUUGGUGACCGUUCUCAGUAGGUCUGCCCUGGCGGAAAGAAGCCCAUCACGGAGCUAGACGUGCUGACAGCAACGACGCAACCAGGAGCGACAGAGGCCAAACGGCAGCACUCAGGCAUUUUUGUUACCAGCGGCCCGUGUGGAGGGGUAGCUCAGGGCCUGAACUACAGAGAG
rnacentral:lncRNA from 1 species